AAAGGUGCAUGAGUGGUGUUUGGUUUGUUACGGGUGGUUGGCUCUUUGCUUGCGCAAACAACUGCCACCCGACUUACCUCUUCAGUUUUUGCCUAGGCUUGUAUAGCAUAAGCAGAUUGUGGGUUUCCUGUGUUGCCUACCUACGUCACGGAAUUGUCCCGAUCGAUCAAAGUUUCUUUCGUCUUGUGUCGUCUUGAUGGCAUAAGAUGAACCAUGAAGCUGUCUCUUUGCACCGCAUCGUUAAUGCAUGCAUUGAUGUUGUGGCCCAUUGAGCAUUGCUUGGUACCUCGGAUACGGAACCUUAUGUGGGCAUGGGUCCUUAGGGAUCCUUGUUCUGCCCUCGUUUAGCGUUCGCGCUUCUCUUAGAAUGACUGCCCAGCCAGAAUGGGAAGCCAUUCUGGAUGGGCAUCGUCAAAGAGGAAUGCUACCUGGUUGAUCCUGCCAGUAGUCAUAU
rnacentral:misc_RNA from 1 species